rnacentral:rRNA from 1 species
UAGGGAAUCUUCGGCAAUGGGGGGAACCCUGACCGAGCAACGCCGCGUGUGUGAAGAAGGUUUUCGGAUCGUAAAGCUCUGUUGUUAAGGAAGAACGAGUGCGAGAAUGGAAAGUUCAUGCUGUGACGGUACUUCACCAGCAAGGGACGGCUAACUACGUGCCAGCAGCCGCGGUAAUACGUAGGUCCCGAGCGUUGUCCGGAUUUAUUGGGCGUAAAGCGAGCGCAGGCGGUUAGAAAAGUCUGAAGUGAAAGGCAGUGGCUCAACCAUUGAAGGCUGUGGAAACUGUUUAACUUGAGUGCAGAAGGGGGGAGUGGAAUUCCAGGUGUGGCGGUGAAAUGCGUGGAAAUAUGGAGGAACACCGGUGGCGAAAGCGGCUCUCUGGUCUGUAACUGACGCAGAGGCUGGAAAGCGUGGGGGGCGAACAGG